GGGGGUGUAAAGGUUUCGACAGGAAGUUAUCUGGUAGCAAAUGCAGUCGUGUGAUCCACGUUAAUCAUCAAAAAUAAAUUAAUUGUAAAAACAAAAUUAGCAAACUUCUUUGGUGGAAACCAAGCUGUAGCUUUCGCUGCUUAAUAACCUAACUAUUGGUUUGCAGUCGUAGACUAAUCACAUAGCUUUCUGUGGUUAACUCUGCGUAAGAGAUGAAAGAUAAGGGACACAAGGUCUAGGUGUGCUCUCGAAAACUAAAUAGACAAACCUUUUAAUUAGUUGUCUGUUGCUAUUAAAAGGAUAACAAGUUCAGACUAAACUGUAGAUUUUGCUACGUGGGAUGCUUUUUGGACAGGGGUUCGACUCCCCUCAUCUCCACCA
rnacentral:tmRNA from 1 species